ensembl:lncRNA
AUCGCAGAGUGAGGAAAUGUGCUGGCUUAGUCAGACAUGGCUACAUGCAUCACAUGAUCAACGCUGCCCUACAAUCCCCCGCUGUGUGCAACAAGUCAAGCUGCAGUCAGAGGACAAUAGAUCCAUCGUGGAAUGUCUGACAACACUCCUCAUGUCACUCGGUGCAACAAGGGAAGUCACAAGUUCUACUGGCCUUGGGCAGAACUCUAGGAAGCAUGGACACAGGUAGAGAUACAACAGAACUGACACACACAGAACAUGAACUCACAGAGGCUACAGCAGCAUGCAUAGUUCAAGCCAGACAGAGUCCCAACACUGAGAGGAGGAAGCGGAUGAGAGUCCCACCCCUAACCAAGAAACUAUAACUGGUUCCCACUGGCAAAGGGGAUGGAUCAGCAGCCAUGCCAUAACAACACUGAUGAAAACUACAGAGACUCACUGACUUGGAACUGAGGCCUCCUGAAAAUAGCCAUGGUUUCUGUGUGUAGCUUUGGAGCCUGUCCUGGAACUCCCUCUGUAGACCAGUUUGUAAUUAAGCAUAAAUAAAUAGGAUCAUGAUUUUCUUCCUGGCUGCAUGGUGUUUUGAGGCUUACUGAAAGGGUGUAAUUUUGAGCCCAGAGAGAGAAACAGCUAUCUAUGGUGUGAGGCUGAGCAGUGAAAAUGGAGUUCAGAGUCAGGAUCUGAGGGAAAGACUUGUGUGGUGAGGACCUGUUGAAGAGUUGUGUGAUGUCUUCCGUAUUGCCUCAGUCUCCCCUUGUCACUUGGUUGGAAGCCUUGCAGGCUCAGUCAUGGGGAAGGCUUGGAGAAGGUGUUUAAUGGAAAAUUGGCUUCCUGGAACACAGUGUUUUACUAGAAAGUUGUCAUCCAACACAAUUAGCUGCCCUGUGUGGGAAGCACCAGGCCCCUGAUGUGGUCCAGGCCUGCCUGCAUUAGGCCUGCUGCUGCUAUGACUCCCAUUUAAAUCCCAACCCAAAGGCUGCACUCCUGUCUCUUCUGGCUACCAGACAUCAAAAAAAUUCAUAGUUACUUUAAUGUAUGUAGUCUAAUCACCUAAAGUAACUUCCAUAAGCCAGGUAUACUUCCUAACUACCAUCUUAUCAUCUUUUCUUAGGAUACACAAAAUCCAUGCAACCCACACAAAAUCCAGCUGACUCUCCAUCCAUCCACAAUCUUAAGUAGGUCCAUUAAAUGUCUAGUUAUUGGAGGAGACUGAAACUUCCUGCCUCGAAUCUGACUGUGGCAAAGGAAAGGGAAGGAAGGAAGGAAGGAAGGAAGGAAGGAAGGAAGGAAGGAAGGAAGGAAGAAAGAAAGGAAGGAAACCCCUGACAAGUCUUUAAGCAUCUGAUUGCCCAGAGAAUAAAGUCAGACAUUUGGUAAGUGAGAAGUACUACUAGGUGCACAAGGGGCCAGGACCUGCCUCGUUUACACAAGCCUAGCACUUGAGUCUUCUGUACAGCUCUUGUCCUGGGAUUAUUUUCACCAUUUACUGUAUAACAUUAUUUCUAAAAUCUCACUUUGUUGUGUAACAGCAUGAGUUGAGAUCCAAGUACCAAUGUGCAAAGUAAAGUGCUGCCCCUCUAGUGCUGUAUGAAGUCAGCUGCUGGGUGGAGGGACUGCUACAAGAGCAUCAGUAUUCUGAACUUCACCUGUACAAGAAGCCUUCCACUUAAACUCUUGAAAUUAUUGCCAAAUGAAUUUAUGCAUAAAUAUAUUUCAUUUGUAAUAAUGUACUUCAGACAUUAACUUUUUCAAAUAAUCUGCAAAUUUUUUAUAACUUUGUCUCCUUUCUUCCAUUUUAAAUUAUCUUAGAGGACCCAGAAUUUACCAGUGGGGUAACCUGAACAGAAUCUCAUAAGCAAGGUAACCCCUGAAGAUAAACAAUAAGGUUUGCCGAGACACUUGAUUUGUUCUGUUUAUUCUAAACAUUCCAUCUAAGCCACUAGAGAGAUGGCUUAAUUAAGAGUGCAUACUGCUCUUGUAGAGAACCUGAGUUUAGUUCCCACCACCAACAUUUGGGUGACUAAUAACCACCAGCUCCUGGGAGUCCAACUUGGGAAAGGAAUACAGAAUCAGAAAAUGAAUGAAACCUUAGAGAUUCUCUCAGUCUCUCUAACUCUGUCUCUCUGCCCCCCGCCCCCCGCAGUGUGUGUGAAUUGCUUAAUGUAACAUGUAACAUGUAACAUGUACUGGGGGAGGUGAGACUGAGUACAGUACACUUUCUAGGCACUGUCUGCAGGAAACUCUGGCAGCUGUAAUUCCCUUAGGUGGCUGGCCAUCAUCAGAAGUCUUCAGAGAAAUGAUCAAGACGUUAGUUUUUUAAUAGAAAAUGGUAAAAUUUUUGGAUUGUCCGUAUUACUUCCCAUUCCUGACAACUGUUCCCUCUUAAAGGCCAAUUCUAAAAGGUCAGAGAGUGGAAAUACAUGUGCCAAAAAAGGCUAGCAGCAGGGCUUUUUUCCAUAAAUGCUGCAAAUUAGUGUUUCAAGGUCCCAGUGAGAAAAGACCUUUUAACUUUCUCUGUUGUUGACAUCAGGAUAAUAACUGUGGGAAGAGUGGAAGGGCAGAUCCUGUUUUUAAAAAGAAUAUUGGUGCUUCAGGGAGAGGAAGAAGGAUCUUCUUAUAUUUUCCCACAAUUGCUAGACUGUUUUACUCGGAAAAUGCACCCUAUAAUCACAAUACAGCAAGGCAAAUUCUCAGAAAAGCUGAGAAAUAGAAGUGCAAGCUGCCCUAAACCAUAUCUCCUUUUCUAUUUUCCCUUUUAUGGAGCCUUCAGAUCAGUCUUCCAAAAGAAAGGACAGAUUUUACAUUUUUACUACAUAUGUUUAAUGUGCUUACUUCUAUUUGAAUCUCACUUUUACACAGCGGAGACUGAAAUAUUUUAAAAUACUAACACAUCUGCUGUCUGAAAAAUAUUGGUCUAGGACAGUUACAAAAGGGGACAGAAUAAAUUAUCAGACAGGCACCAAGUGACACUGGGUCAUCCCUGGCAGCUCUGAGGUGACAUACUGUGAUGUAACACUAGAACCCCCAACUUAGUCUGCUUGGUACUACAGCUAGGAAGUCUAGGAAACUAAAACAACAACAACACACUAUCGUUCCCACCCAGCUACAGUAGUCUUCAGAUGAGCUUGUGAUUGGGAGCAG